rnacentral:rRNA from 1 species
GUAAGCUUGGAAGUAGCUAUCUUUUAAUGAAAGUGUAACAACUCAAUAGUCUAAAUAUGAUAAAAAGCAUCGAAGAUUAAUCGGGUCUAGAUAUUUAACCAAAAUUAUGAUAUUUUUUGUUGAAAAGAUUCUUUUGAACAAAGAAUAAGGUAGCAGAACACUUAGUAUUAGGUUUGAAGAAAUAAAUGAAUUUAUUUUGGACUAUACUAAAGAGAGAAUGCUGGCAUGAGUAACGAUUAAGGGGUUAAAAUACUCCUCGCCGAAUACGAAAGGGUUUCAUGGAAAAGGUGAUCUGCCAUGAUUUAUACGGUUUCUAAGGAGAUUUGCGAAUAGUAACUCUCUGAUGAAGGAAAGAAAUAUUCUUCUAAUAAUAGAACGAGAAAAGUAUUUCUUGCAUAAAGAUAACCGUACCUUAAACCGACACAGGUUCGUAGGUAGAGUAUACUAAGGCGUAGAGAUAAGGCUAGUGAAGGAACUCGGCAAAAUGCUUCCGUAAGUUAGACGAUAAGGAAGAAAGUUGUAUUUAUGUAAAAGUAUUACAACUUUGGCACAAAAGUGGGGGCUUCGACUGUUUACUAAAAACACAGCAACUUGCUAAGACUAAAAGUAUUUGUAUAAGUUGUGAACUCUGUCCAAUGCCAAUCCGUGUAAAGGAGGUAAUAUAUUUAAGUAUAUAGUUACUAACUGAUGCGGUGGUCAAUGACGGUCUUAACCAUAAGGAUCUGAAAGUAGCGAAAUUCCUUGGCCAUUAAAUGUGGUCCUGCAUGAAUGAGGUAACGCGGCCCUGCUGUCUCCACUAGCUUCUCAGUGAAAUUGAAUUAGCCGUGCAGAUGCGGUUUGCCUUCCGGAGGACGCGAAGACCCUAUGCAGCUUUACUGUAAUUUGAUAUUGUUUCUUGCUCAAUUUAGUGUAGAAUACAAGGGAGCAUAAGCGUCAGUGAAAUACCUUGAUAAAUUUGAAUGAGAAACUAACUUCCUUUAGAAGGACAGUUUCAGAGGGUCAGUUUUGCUGGGGUGGCAGCCUCUAAGAAAGUAUCAGAGGCCUUCAAAGGUAUAUUUAUAUUGGUCAGAAACCAAUGGAUAAUUAUUUCUAAUAAAAUGUAAUGGUAAAAUAUGCUUUACUGAUAGACUGAUGGGUCGAUCAGUCACGCAAGUGUGACAUAGUGAUCCGGUGAUACAGAAUGGAAUGAUCAUCGCUCAAGAAAUAAAAGUUACGCUAGGGAUAACAGGUUUAUCGUUUGCGAGAGUUCACAUUGUCCAAACGGUUUGACACCUCGAUGUCGACUCUUCUCAUCCUCCAGGUGUAGUAGCUUGGAAGGGUUCAGCUGUUCGCUGAGUAAAGAGGAACGUGAGUUGGGUUUAAUACGACGUGAGUCAGUAUAGAUUCUAUCCUCGGAAGGAAAAAAGAAUAAAAGGAGAACCUCUAAUUAGUACGAAAGGACCAUUAGAGAGAAUUCAAUGGUGACUCUGUUGUUGUUAUAAUUAUGUUGUCUUAUUAUAAUAGCACUGCAGAGUAGCUACAAUUCUAAAAGAGAAGUACUGAAAGCAUCUCAAGUGCGAAACAGAUCUCUGGAUAUUCUUUAUAAAUAAGAAAAAGACUAUUUCUUUAUUUUUAGGAUGCAAAUGUUAGUUUAGCAUUACUAAUGUAUUAAUAAACUUAAUUGUACCAUAUUGUUUUAAU